ensembl:rRNA 5S_rRNA 5S ribosomal RNA
GUCUACAGCCAUACCACCCUGAACGUGCCCGAUCCUAUCUGAUCUUGGAAGCUGAGCAGGGUUGCGCCUGGUUAGUACUUGGGUGGGAGACUGUUGAAGAUCAAACUUUCCUUAAGGGAGAUUUGGAAUUGAACAGU